rnacentral:rRNA from 1 species
CCGUAGCCUGGUAGCGGGGGAUAACUAUUGGAAACGAUAGCUAAUACCGCAUAAGAGUAGAUGUUGCAUGACAUUUGCUUAAAAGGUGCAAUUGCAUCACUACCAGAUGGACCUGCGUUGUAUUAGCUAGUUGGUGAGGUAACGGCUCACCAAGGCGACGAUACAUAGCCGACCUGAGAGGGUGAUCGGCCACACUGGGACUGAGACACGGCCCAG